GUGCGGGCCGUGAGGGGUGUGCGCGCUUGAGCCGGAGCGGGGCUCGCCCCUCGUCGGCUCCCGCCGCCCAGCCGGUGAUCGCUCUCCGGCCGUCCCCGGCACCCUCGGCCCCCCACGGCGGUUGGUCCGGGCGGGGGAAGGAGAAAGUGAGACUCGGUGUCAUCACCAAUCCAUCGCCAGAAGGGGAGGAAACUGGAAUCCAGCAGCGGCGAGCAGCAGCUGGACGGUAACAUCUGGAAAUGGAAAGCCGACCUCCCCCUCCUCCUCCACCUCCUCCUCCUCCUCCUCCUCCUCCUCCUCCUCCUCUCACCCAGGAUCACUUCCAAAACCACUUGGCCUUCAGCCCCUGCCUCGGCCAGAGGUUUCAUUUUUAACUGAAUAUUUACGAAAGCUGAAAGCGUGCGAGGGGGGUGGGGUGGAAAUAGCGGCUGCUUCUUUUCCAAGGAUUUAUUUAAUGGGGAUGUGUUCAAGGCAAGACCGAAUUCAGAAGGAUAUCGACGUCGUGAUCCAGAAGUCCAGAGCUGAGGACUGCCUGUUUGCAGGGCCCGCCUGGCAGGACGACUGAGCAAGUCCUUGGAAAACCAGAGAUAUUAGAGCGGUGAAUCGCGCUGGUCACGUUGGACACCUGCGCGUUAGGAGAUUCUGGAGCCAGAGGGAGAGACCCCAGAAACUCCCCGGUCGGCGACCCAGCCCGAGACGCCUGGGGUCCCAAGGGAAGCUGAACGCCCGGUGGGCUCCCGGGAUGGUUCUUCCGGUUCUUUGUGCCGCCUUCACCCAGUGAAGGAGCCUGUAUCCACCCUGCCCAGUCGCUGUUGGGCUGCUGCGGAGCUUCCGCUGCCAUCUUCGGAUCCUGUGUUCCGCCCGGGGCUCCACCAGGGCAGGGAUGGUGGUGAGGGUCGCUCGUGGGUCCCCUGGCAGGGAGCAGGGUCUGGCACUCACAAGGGCGCACGACUAGGACUUGUCGAAUGAAUCCUUUGUCGCCUUUAGCUUUUAGUCCUUUGAAGAGAGAAUGGGGAAAUGGAGAGAGAACCUGAAAGAGCCCCAAACUCGAGGACCUAUUGCUCCCCAAGAAUAACAUCUUCCAGAACUAGACAGAAAACUAGGCGUCUGGGAACCCUGAAAUCCUUGGAGGAGUAGAUCAUCAUGACCCUCUGUGUUCCUUUUGGCAAAUGACUUGCUUCCAUUGUUUGUUUGUUCAAUUGUCUGUUUGUUAAAUAAAUAAAACCCUUUUCAU
rnacentral:lncRNA from 1 species